UGGGGAAUAUUGCACAAUGUAGGGAACUCUGCUGCAGCGACGACGCGUGAGUGAUGAAGGACUUCGUUUCGUAAAACUCUGUUCUAUGGGAAGAAAAGGACUGUACCAUAGGAGAAAGCUCCGGCUAAAUACGUGCCAGCAGCCGCGGUAAUCCGUAUGGAGCGAGCGUUGUCCGGAAUUAUUGGGCGUAAAGGGUGCGCAGGCGGCUUUACAAGUUGGAUGUGAAAUAUUGUGGCUCAACCACAAACGUGCAUCCAAAACUGCAAAGCUUGAGUUAAGGAGAGGUAAGUCGAACUCCUGGUGUAGCGGUGGAAUGCGUAGAUAUGAGGAGGAAUACCGGUGGAGAAGGCGACUUACUGGACUUAAACUGACGCUCAGGCAAGAACGCGUGGGGAGCAAACAGG
rnacentral:rRNA from 1 species